UGGGAAAUGCUUUAGCCAGCGUGCCUGGGA
rnacentral:piRNA from 1 species